AUUGAACGCUGGCGGCAGGCCUAACACAUGCCAGUCGAGCGGAGCGGCGGACGGGGGCGUAAUGCCUAGGAAUCUGACUGGUAGUGGAGGAUAACGUCCGGAAACGGGCGCUACUAACGCAUACUAUCCGAUGCGCCUAGGUCGGAUAAGCUCGUUGGUGGGGUAAAGGCCUACCAAGGCGACGAUCCGUAACUGGUCUGAGAGGAUGAUCCGGCAGACGGGAACUGAGACACGGUCCAGACGCCUACGGGAGGCAGCAUUGGAGAAUAUUGGACGUGGGGCGAAAGCCUGAUCCAGCCAGGCCGCGUGUGUGAAGAAGGUCUUCGGGUUUUAAAGCACUUUAAGUUGGGAGGCGUGACCAACAGAAUAAGCACCGGCUAACUUCGUGCCAGCAGCCGCGGUAAUGC
rnacentral:rRNA from 1 species